AUUGUUGCGAGUUUGAAAUCCAACCAGUCAAGUAAUGUUCAAAAGUCUAAAAAGAUUUUGUUUUAUUCAUGUAUUGUGCAAAAUCUACUCAAUCAUGGUUAAGUCAUAUUAUGCCAUGUUUCCUUGAUUGGCAUGUUGUGAAUAAUAUCAUCUCUAUUUCAUUCUUAUUGAAUGAAUAUAUCAGUGUUUAUUCCUUUAUUCAUGAUAGUUGCAUUGAGCCUUAUUUCAGUCUUUAGUUUGCUUGUCAUGCAUCUUGUACUUGUCUUGUAUCAGGCUGUCAAAAAGCAAGAUGUCCUACCUUCACCUGUUCUAUGGCAUGAGAAAUCGUCCCUUCUUGGACGCAUAGUUCCUAAAAGGCCACCCAUCCCCGAGUCUGUCUCUGGUCAUUCUCUUGCAAAAUUGGCUCAUUAGCUUGCUUGUAACUAUUAUCUUGCAAAGCAACCAGUAAGCCACAGAUGCAUGAAAGUUGUCAACCAUGGAGGUGUGGAUGUUCUGACUUGCCAAUCAAACUUGAAGGCGGCAGUUUGUGGGAAGGAACUGGAUGGAGGCAGUGAAAAUUACAUUACUACUGAAUCUAGAAAAAUGAAACGGAACAGAGGUAGUCAUCGGAGUAAUAAACUCGGCAACCAAAUAGGUGUGGAUGAUCCGACCUGCCAGUCAAACUUGAAAGCAACAGUUUGUGGGAAGGAACUAAAUGGAGGCAGUGAAACCUGCACUGCUAUUGAUUAUAAAAAAAGGAAACGGAACAGAGAUCGCCGACUUCGCCGAAUCAAUAAGCGAAAGUUAAUGUCGACGACAAAUUUAGAAGUAAAAAGAGAACUUAAUGGUAGCUCAAAUAAUGAAUCAUUGACAAAUUAGAUAAUCUCUUAAUAGUUGUCGAUAUGUUUAGAAAAUUAGAUAUGCAUAGUUUUGGAUGGUUUAAACUCUUUGUACAGUUUAGAACUUAUAGUUUUCGAAUGUUUGGAAUGUGAAGACAAUUGUUGAAAGUUUAUAAUUUA